CACACAGCGAGACCCAGGAGGCAGGAGCCAAUAAAAUCUUAAAGACACCCAAGGACCAGGCCCACACAUUCCAAAUGCUUCUUAGGGAUUGACCAACACAAAUCCAGCUGCACCUUCUUCACAUGCACAGAAACCAAAGUAAAAAUCUAAAGAGAAUAAUGAAAGGAAAAGAAAAAACAAGGAUCAGCCACCAGCAGGAAACCUCCCAAGUUCUUCAGUGCCAAAAAACAGCAGAAGCCAAGGAAGUGGCAUUUCACCCACACGGACUUCUCGAUGAUGGACCCCAGCUUGGCCUCCCACGUCUGGGAUAUUUAUGAGGUUCUGGGAAGGCGUUCAGAACUGGAGAUAAACUCUAAACCCUAUGUCUCAGAGAAGUGUGAUGGCCCCUCCUCUGCUGGUUCAGGUGCCCACCACUUGGGCACCAGAUCCCAUCCGGGGCCACAGCCCUGGCUCAGGGAGUACCUACGCUGCCUAGAUCUGAAGGUUCUCCUUAGACUCUGGGGUGCUAGUUGGCUUUGCCAAUGUUGACAUAGGGGGUAAGAGGAUAAACCCAGAAGCCAGACUGGGUUUAAAUCCUGAUGGUGGUCUUUACUGGCUGUGUGAACACAGGUAGGUUUCUUGACCUCCUUCUGCCUCAGGUCCCUCAUCUCAAAAUUGAAAGCAACAGGUAAGACCUACUUCUUGAAAUUAUUGUGAGUAUUAAAUGAGAUGGAACUGAGCAUCUAAUAAGUAUCAAUACAUUAUUUCUUGGCAUUCUAUUUUUUAUAGUGGUAAAAUAUACAUAACAUGGAAUUUUAACCAUUUAAAAAAAUGUACAGUUCUGUGGCAUUAAGUAUGCAUACACAGUUGUUACCAUCUGUCCUUCUCCAGAACUUUUCCAGGAACCCCAAAUGAAACUCUGUAUCCACAAACAACAAUCCCUAUUCCCUGUUCCUCUCCACCCCUGGUGACCACAAUUCUGCUUUCUGUUUCUCUAAGUCUGACUGCUCUCAGAAACUCACAAUAAGUGGAGUUAUCAGUAUGUGUCCUUUUGGGUCUGGCUUAGUUCACAAAGCAUAACGUCCUCAGGUUUGUCCAUGUU